rnacentral:rRNA from 1 species
UAGGGAAUCUUCGGCAAUGGGGGCAACCCUGACCGAGCAACGCCGCGUGAGUGAAGAAGGUUUUCGGAUCGUAAAGCUCUGUUGUAAGUCAAGAACGGGUGUGAGAGUGGAAAGUUCACACUGUGACGGUAGCUUACCAGAAAGGGACGGCUAACUACGUGCCAGCAGCCGCGGUAAUACGUAGGUCCCGAGCGUUGUCCGGAUUUAUUGGGCGUAAAGCGAGCGCAGGCGGUUUGAUAAGUCUGAAGUUAAAGGCUGUGGCUCAACCAUAGUUCGCUUUGGAAACUGUCAAACUUGAGUGCAGAAGGGGAGAGUGGAAUUCCAUGUGUAGCGGUGAAAUGCGUAGAUAUAUGGAGGAACACCGGUGGCGAAAGCGGCUCUCUGGUCUGUAACUGACGCUGAGGCUCGAAAGCGUGGGGAGCGAACAGGAUUAGAUACCCUGGUAGUCCACGCCGUAAACGAUGAGUGCUAGGUGUUGGAUCCUUUCCGGGAUUCAGUGCCGCAGCUAACGCAUUAAGCACUCCGCCUGGGGGAGUACGACCGCAAGGUUGAAAC